ensembl:lncRNA
CCCUAAUGUGGGUGAUCGUCAUCCAGUCACGUGAAGGCCUGAACAGAACAAAAUUGACGUUUCUUCUACUACUAAAAGGGAACUCCUCCUGACUUACUUCCUGGAGUUGAGACAUUGGUCUUUUUCCUGUCUUCAGAAUUGAACUGAAACAUUGGCUCUUGGGUCUCGAGCUUGCUAUUUUUCAUGCUGGAAUACACCAUCAGCUCUCUUCCUUCUCAGACAUUUGGACUUGGUCUAGAACUUCACCACCUGCUCUCCUGGGUCUCCAGUUUACUGACCUCAGACCUUAGGACUUCUAACUAUCCAUGAUCAGAGAGAGAUAGGUUUACAUAGUAAGGCUGGGCUAUGAGUCCUGGGAGCCGAAGCUGACGCAAACCCAGGUCAUUGCAACACCCAACACUGGAGCUGCUGUAACAGAGCUGCAGAGCAAAGCUGGCAGAAGGGUCUGGGUAAAGAUACCAAUGGAAAGCGUUUCACCUUUUCUUCUCAAGAGGGCAGAGGUCCUAAUGAGGGCACUGUGAGUCUGAGACAUCACCGAAUUCUGCAAAGCAGCGCUGCGAAAAUGCCCGACAGCAUGCUUCCCGGCUUCUCUUCUGGGCUUUCCUGUCCUCCUACAGGCUGGUGGUGAUAAGAUGCCAGCAGAGCAUGUGCCAUUCGGCUUGCACAUGGGCUGGUGAAACACUGCUCUCCACUGGCAAAAAUCCUGCCUAUGCCCUCCUCUCCCAGGGCAGGAAACUUCGUUCACGCUCCUGGGUUGAGAGAAACCAUGGUUUAAAUGUUUAUAAGUGAAUGGAAAGCAAUGUGUUGGAAAGGGGGUGGGGGGCAAGAGACUCCACUUUUCAUUAUAAAGCCUGCACUGUUUGAUUUGGUAACUAAGUAUUCUCACUUGAAACAUAUUUAGAUUCAGGGACUUUCCUGGUGGUGCAGUGGUCAGGACUCCAUGCUUCCACUGCAGGGGAUACUGGUUUGAUCCCUGGCUGGGGAACUGAGAUCUUAUGUGGUACAGCCAAAAAAAAAUUUUUAGAUUCGCCCUUGAAUGAGUUGCUACCCCAUUGCUUUGCUCCCUUCUGCCAGCAAACCUUCCUGAAAGAGGUGUCCAUAAAUUCCUAUCUCUUCUUUUAAACCUCCUGUACAAUGUAUUUUAUGUAUUUUUUAAUUGAGGUAUAGUUGAUUCAUGCUAUUAUAUGUUUCAGACAUAUGACAUAGAAAUUCACGAUUUUUAAAGGUUAUAUUGAAUUUAUAGUUACUAUAAAAUAUUGGCUAUAUUAUGCUGUAUAACACAACCUUGUGACUUGUUCGUUUUAUACACAGUAGUUUGUAUCUUGUAACCCCCUACCCCCAUCUUGUCCCACUCCCCCCUCUCCUCUGUCCACUGAUAACUACCAGUUUAUUCUAUACAUCCGUAAAUCUUUUUUUGUUAUACUAACUAGUUUGUUUUAUUCUUUUAGAUUCCACAUAUAAAAGUGAUAUCUGAGUGACAAAGAAUUGACACUUUUGAACUGUGGUGUUGGAGAAGACUCUUGAGAGUCUCUUGGACUGCAAGGAGAUCCAAUCAGUCCAUCCUAAAGGAAAUCAAUCCUGAAUAUUCACUGGAAGGACUGAUGCUGAAGCUGAAACUCCAAUACUUUGGCCACCUGAUGUGAAGAACUGACUCACUUGAAAAGACCCUGAUGCUGGGAAAGAUUGAAGGUGGAAGGAGAAGAGGAUGACAGAGGAUGAGAUGGUUGGAUGGCAUCACGGAUUUGAUGGACAUUAGUUUGAGCAAGCUCCAGGAGUUAGUGAUGGACAGGGAAGCCUGGUGUGCUGCAGUUCAUGGGGUCGCAGAGUCAGAUACGACUGAGCAACUGAACUGACAACAUUUAUCACAUACAUAUACACGUGUGUGUGUGUGUGUGUGUGUGUGUGUAUUAGUCACUCAGUCGUGUCCAACUUUUUGUGACCCCAUGGAUUGGGGCCCACCAGGCUCCUCCGUUCAUGGGAUUUUCCAAGCAAGAAUACUGGAGUGGGUUGUCAUUCCCUUCUCCAAGGGAUCUUCCUGACCCAGGGAUCGAACCCAGGUCUCCCAUAUUGCAAGCAGGCUCUUUACCUCCUGACCCACUGGGGAAGACUAUAUAUAUUUUUUUAAUUGAAGUAUAUAUACCAUAUAUUUUGAAAAGUUACACGUAUCAGUUUUAUCUAAUAUAUGUAAAUAAGUCUUAAAUAUUCAACUGGCACUCCCGCUUCACUCCCAGUGGAACCCACUUUCAACUUCUUUGCUGUUUUUACUAGUAAUUAUUGACAUAUUUUUAUAGGAUAGUAAUGCUAUUUCUUAAUAUACUUUAAAUAUCUUCUGAACGCCUCCCGCUACAGAAGGUAAAGUAUGUCAUGCCACUCUCUCACACACACACAACUCCCCUUUCCUGCUUCAUCCCCUCCAUGUAAACUUAUUAUAAUUUUUGGCUAAAUCAGCUGUUGUUUACAUUACUAUGUCCAGUAAAGAUUCCCUGUUUA